GAAAUGCGAUAAGUAAUGUGAAUUGCAGAAUUCCGUGAUUCAUCGAAUCUUUGAACGCACAUUGCGCCCUCUGGCAUUCCGGGGGGCAUGCCUGUCCGAGCGUCAUUACGCACCCUCAAGCCCGGCUUGUGUGAUGGGCCCCGGCGUCUCGUUCGCGAGACGGGCCCGAAAGGCAGCGGCGGCGUCGACCCGAUGAGCCCGAGCGUAUGGGGACUUCUGUCACACGUUCGCGGUGCGGACCGGCGCCUGCUUUGACUUUUCUGAUUAUCCAGGUUGACCUCGGAUCAGGUAGGGAUACCCGCUGAACUUAAGC
rnacentral:misc_RNA from 1 species